rnacentral:tRNA from 1 species
CGCCCUGUAGUUCAAUUGGAUGAACGCCGGACUACGAAUCCGGAGGCUGUAGGUUCGAAUCCUACCGGGGUGA